UGGGGAAUAUUGCACAAUGGGCGCAAGCCUGAUGCAGCCAUGCCGCGUGUAUGAAGAAGGCCUUCGGGUUGUAAAGUACUUUCAGCGGGGAGGAAGGCGAUAAGGUUAAUAACCUUGUCGAUUGACGUUACCCGC
rnacentral:rRNA from 1 species